GUUUUUUGGACCCUCAAUGCGUGCACUGGAUCUCGCGGAAAAUUAGUUGGGAGGACUGGAUUGAUACUUUCUCUUGUUUUAGUUAAAUAUGGCUCCAUUUUGCUUUUACAUGUUUACAUUCACAGUCUAUCUGAAGUAGUAUUUCCUGUUUUUCAGGCUGCAAACUUUUGCUUCCUAUUUGCAUGUGUUAAAUAUUUUAACUGCUUGGCUCUUAUUAAACCUGCAUUGGAACUGUC